UACGAAGGGGGCUAGCGUUGCUCGGAAUCACUGGGCGUAAAGCGCACGUAGGCGGUUUCUUAAGUCAGGGGUGAAAUCCUGGAGCUCAACUCCAGAACUGCCUUUGAUACUGGGAGACUUGGAGUCCGGGAGAGGUGAGUGGAACUGCGAGUGUAGAGGUGAAAUUCGUAGAUAUUCGCAAGAACACCAGUGGCGAAGGCGGCUCACUGGCCCGGUACUGACGCUGAGGUGCGAAAGCGUGGGGAGCGAACAGG
rnacentral:rRNA from 1 species